GAAUGCUGACAUAAGUAACGAUAAAGCGGGUGAAAAGCCCGCUCGCCGGAAGACCAAGGGUUCCUGUCCAACGUUAAUCGGGGCAGGGUGAGUCGACCCCUAAGGCGAGGCCGAAAGGCGUAGUCGAUGGGAAACGGGUUAAUAUUCCCGUACUUGGUGUUACUGCGAAGGGGGGACGGAGAAGGCUAUGUUGGCCGGGCGACGGUUGUCCCGGUUUAAGCGUGUAGGUGUGUGUUCCAGGUAAAUCCGGUUCACUUUAACACUGAGGCGUGACGACGAGGCACUACGGUGCUGAAGCAACAAAUGCCCUGCUUCCAGGAAAAGCCUCUAAGCAUCAGGUAACAUCAAAUCGUACCCCAAACCGACACAGGUGGUCAGGUAGAGAAUACCAAGGCGCUUGAGAGAACUCGGGUGAAGGAACUAGGCAAAAUGGUGCCGUAACUUCGGGAGAAGGCACGCUGACAUGUAGGUGAAGUGAUUUACUCAUGGAGCUGAAGUCAGUCGAAGAUACCAGCUGGCUGCAACUGUUUAUUAAAAACACAGCACUGUGCAAACACGAAAGUGGACGUAUACGGUGUGACGCCUGCCCGGUGCCGGAAGGUUAAUUGAUGGGGUCAGCGCAAGCGAAGCUCCUGAUCGAAGCCCCGGUAAACGGCGGCCGUAACUAUAACGGUCCUAAGGUAGCGAAAUUCCUUGUCGGGUAAGUUCCGACCUGCACGAAUGGCGUAAUGAUGGCCAGGCUGUCUCCACCCGAGACUCAGUGAAAUUGAACUCGCUGUGAAGAUGCAGUGUACCCGCGGCAAGACGGAAAGACCCCGUGAACCUUUACUAUAGCUUGACACUGAACAUUGAGCCUUGAUGUGUAGGAUAGGUGGGAGGCUUUGAAGUGUGGACGCCAGUCUGCAUGGAGCCGACCUUGAAAUACCACCCUUUAAUGUUUGAUGUUCUAACGUGGACCCGUGAUCCGGGUUGCGGACAGUGUCUGGUGGGUAGUUUGACUGGGGCGGUCUCCUCCUAAAGAGUAACGGAGGAGCACGAAGGUUGGCUAAUCCUGGUCGGACAUCAGGAGGUUAGUGCAAUGGCAUAAGCCAGCUUGACUGCGAGCGUGACGGCGCGAGCAGGUGCGAAAGCAGGUCAUAGUGAUCCGGUGGUUCUGAAUGGAAGGGCCAUCGCUCAACGGAUAAAAGGUACUCCGGGGAUAACAGGCUGAUACCGCCCAAGAGUUCAUAUCGACGGCGGUGUUUGGCACCUCGAUGUCGGCUCAUCACAUCCUGGGGCUGAAGUAGGUCCCAAGGGUAUGGCUGUUCGCCAUUUAAAGUGGUACGCGAGCUGGGUUUAGAACGUCGUGAGACAGUUCGGUCCCUAUCUGCCGUGGGCGCUGGAGAACUGAGGGGGGCUGCUCCUAGUACGAGAGGACCGGAGUGGACGCAUCACUGGUGUUCGGGUUGUCAUGCCAAUGGCACUGCCCGGUAGCUAAAUGCGGAAGAGAUAAGUGCUGAAAGCAUCUAAGCACGAAACUUGCCCCGAGAUGAGUUCUCCCUGAGACUUAGAGUCUCCUGAAGGAACGUUGAAGACGACGACGUUGAUAGGCCGGGUGUGUAAGCGCAGCGAUGCGUUGAGCUAACCGGUACUAAUGAACCGUGAGGCUUAACCUUACA
rnacentral:rRNA from 1 species